GAUAGCUCAAUUGGCAAAACACAAGACUGUUAAUCUUAGGGUUGUGGGUUCGAGUUCCGCACCA